rnacentral:rRNA from 1 species
UACGAAGGGGGCUAGCGUUGCUCGGAAUCACUGGGCGUAAAGGGUGCGUAGGCGGGUCUUUAAGUCAGGGGUGAAAUCCUGGAGCUCAACUCCAGAACUGCCUUUGAUACUGAGGAUCUUGAGUCCGGGAGAGGUGAGUGGAACUGCGAGUGUAGAGGUGAAAUUCGUAGAUAUUCGCAAGAACACCGGUGGCGAAGGCGGCAUCCUGGACCGACAUUGACGCUGAGGCGCGAAAGCCAGGGGAGCAAACGGG